ensembl:snoRNA Gm25777 predicted gene, 25777
GCAGAUUCACUCUGCACCUGGCUGCAGCUCCAGUCUGGUGCUUUUUCUGUCUGCCAAAGAAACAUUCCAGGGGGCUGUGGCUGCCUCUGCCUACCGGAGGCCAUGCAGCUGCCUGGGGACACUGAU